AUACCUACGGAACGCAGCAGUGGGGGAUAUUGCACAAUGGGGGGAACCCUGAUGCAGCGACGCCGCGUGGGCGAUGGAGCGCCUCGGCGCGUAAAGCCCUAUCAGCAGGGAAGAAGAUGACGGUACCUGACUAAGAAGCCCCGGCUAAAUACGUGCCAGCAGCCGCGGUAAUACGGAGGAUGCGAGCGUUAUCCGGAUUUAUUGGGUUUAAAGGGUGCGCAGGCGGACCAUCAAGUCAGCGGUAAAAUCGUGGGGCCCAACCCCAUCCCGCCGUUGAAACUGGCGGGCUUUAGUG
rnacentral:rRNA from 1 species